rnacentral:rRNA from 1 species
UCCGUAGGCGGGCUAAUAAGUCAGGGGUGAAAUCCCACAGCUUAACUGUGGAAUUGCCUUUGAUACUGUUAGUCUUGAGUUAUAUGGAAGUAGAUAGAAUGUGUAGUGUAGCGGUGAAAUGCAUAGAUAUUACACAGAAUACCGAUUGCGAAGGCAGUCUACUACGUAUAUACUGACGCUAAUGGACGAAAGCGUGGGGAGCGAACAGGAUUAGAUACCCUGGUAGUCC